rnacentral:lncRNA from 1 species
CAUUUUUUAUUCAAUUUUCCAUUGACUACCCCAAAUAAUGAUAUCAGAUUCUGCAGUUACGAAAGGCGUUGUUGCGACAAUGGGAUCCAUGGUCGCGAAAAUGGACUGUCUGUUCCCCAAAACUUGCUCUAAUUAGUUGAUCAUUAUUGCAACGCUGAAGUUUCAUGGUUGCAACAACAAUCUCUCUGAUUGCCUCUUAGCUCCAGUUAGAGCCUUCGUGGUCACAAGAAGAAGUUGUAAUGGUAGCAACAAUGGUUUAGUUGAGGAAACUCUUUGGCAAGUCGACAAGGUCGUAGUCGUGAAAAGACAUCUCAUGGUCGUGACAAGGAAGUGCUUUCCUUGUGUUCCUCUAUUAACCUCACUCGAUUAAGCUCUACAAUGCCCUUUGCACACUUUUAAGUCCAUAUAUGAAGGAAAUUAACUAUUUAUUCAAAAUUGAACAAAAACUUACCAAAAACAACAUUUAAACUAAAUCCUAACACAGUCGGCGAACCCUAAUCCCCUUUUGCGUAAACACCGAUCCACCACCACAGUCGGCGACCAGCGUAUUCGAGCUUUGGGAGAUGGUUUUUCAGCCUUGAGAUCCCUCUUUCGGCAUCGAUUUCAACGAAGCAAAAAAAAGAAAUCUAUGGCCUAUUCGCAAGGUAAGACCCUCCUUCACUUUUUCUUUGUUUUCUAACACAAUGACGAAAGAUUUGAAGGAAAAUAAAUCGCAAGGAAAUGCUAGAACUUGAAGAAACUUAAACAGAAAUCACCUUCAAAUUUUUGAAUGCUUUCUUUCUAUUCAGUAUGCGUAAAAAAAUAAAUGAGGAAGUUCUUGGCUUUAUAGUCGAAAUCCGAAAGAAUAAAAAAAAUACAAAUUUUUCCUUCGUGUUUGCUGUCAUUCUCUUGUAUGUUUGCAGGUAUGGAGGUACGGGGCUAGCUGUGGUGGUACGUGGCACUCGGCGUGGGGCGUACGGAGGUGUGCUGGAGGUCGUACGGCGCUUGGAGGCUGAAGGCUGCUAUGGCGCAUCGAGGGGGACCCUAGGGUUUCUGUGAAUGUCAAACUCUUGGGCCAUUUGGGCCUGCUUUGUUGUGUAAUAUUGGGCUAGGAUUAAUUUGGGUCCUUGUAAUUAUUUUGGGCCGAUGGACUGUCUUUGUUGUAAAUGGGUUAUAAUAUUUGGACUGUUAUAAUAUUUUUAUUAUAACUUAUUCUUUUUUUUUGUUUGUACGGGCCCGGGCCAAAAUUGGGCCUUACAAGCCAAAUUUUAUUUAUUAAGUAUAUUAUUUUAGGAAAAUUAACUAAUAAUUAAAUUUGAGUAUAAUUACAUGUAAAUAUAAAUGUUUGACAUAUUUGAAUAAUCA